CUCACGGACNNGAUCUCCCACCCUUGAAUACUAUACCUUAUUUGCUUUGGCAGGACGUGGAAACACCAAUGANAUCCGGCCUGUGAGUGCCUGCCAGAGGAAACCANACUCUGUUUUUAGUGAUGUCUGAGUACUAUAUAAUAGUUAAAACUUUYAACAGRCGGAUCUCUUGGUUCUGGCAUCRAUGAAGAACGCAGCGAAAUGCGAUAAGUAAUGUGAAUUGCAGAAUUCAGUGNUUCAUCGAAUCUUUGAACGCACAUUGCGCCCUGUGGUAUUCCGCAGGGCAUGCCUGUUCGAGCGUCAUUUAAACCAAUCCAGCCUCUGGCUGGGUCUUGGGGCAUACGGUUCGCUGUAGCUCCUAAAAUCAGUGGCGGUGCUGUCCAGCUCUGAGCGUAGUAAUACUCCUCGCUAUAGGGUCUGGGUAGUGGCUUGCCAACAACCCCCAAUUUUUACAGGUUGACCUCGGAUCAGGUAAGNAACCCGCUGGANUAAGGGGAA
rnacentral:rRNA from 1 species